ACUGCUCAGUAACACGUAGUCAACAUGCCCAGAGGACGUGGAUAACCUCGGGAAACUGAGUCUAAACCGCGAUAAGUGAGGAUUUCUGGAAUGGUUCCUGACUAAAAUCUAUAUGGCCUCUGGAUUGGACUGCGGCCGAUCAGGCUGUUGGUGAGGUAAUGGCCCACCAAACCUGUAACCGGUACGGGCUCUGAGAGGAGGAGCCCGGAGAUGGGCACUGAGACAAGGGCCCAGGCCCUAUGGGGCGCAGCAGGCGCGAAAACUCUGCAAUAAGCGAAAGCUUGACAGGGUUAUUCUGAGUGAUUUCCGCUAAGGAAAUCUUUUGGCACCUCUAAAAAUGGUGCAGAAUAAGGGGUGGGCAAGCCUGGUGUCAGCCGCCGCGGUAAUACCAGCACCCCGAGUGGUCGGGACGAUUAUUGGGCCUAAAGCAUCCGUAGCCGGUUCUACAAGUCUUCCGUUAAAUCCACCUGCUCAACAGAUGGGCUGCGGAGGAUACUAUAGAGCUAGGAGGCGGGAGAGGCAAGCGGUACUUAGUGGGUAGGGGUAAAAUCCGUUGAUCCAUUGAAGACCACCAGUGGCGAAGGCGGCUUGCCAGAACGCACUCGACGGUGAGGGAUGAAAGCUGGGGGAGCAAACCGGAUUAGAUACCCGGGUAGUCCCAGCUGUAAACGAUGCAGACUCGGUGAUGAAUAGGCUUCGUGCCUAUUCAGUGCCGCAGGGAAGCCGUUAAGUCUGCCGCCUGGGGAGUACGGUCGCAAGACUGAAACUUAAAGGAAUUGGCGGGGGAGCA
rnacentral:rRNA from 1 species